rnacentral:rRNA from 1 species
GUGAGGAAUCUUCCACAAUGGGCGAAAGCCUGAUGGAGCAACGCCGCGUGAAGGAUGAAGGUCUUCGGAUUGUAAACUUCUUUUAUGAGUGAAGAAUAUGACGGUAACUCAUGAAUAAGCACCGGCUAACUACGUGCCAGCAGCCGCGGUCAUACGUAGGGUGCAAGCAUUAUCCGGAGUGACUGGGCGUAAAGAGUUGCGUAGGCGGUUAUGUAAGCGAAUAGUGAAACCUGGUGUCUCAACAACACAGACUAUUAUUCGAACUGCAUAACUCGAGAAUGGUAGAGGUAACUGGAAUUUCUUGUGUAGGAGUGAAAUCCGUAGAUAUAAGAAGGAACACCAAUGGCGUAGGCAGGUUACUGGGCCAUUUCUGACGCUAAGGCACGAAAGCGUGGGGAGCGAACCGGAUUAGAUACCCCGGUAGUCC